rnacentral:misc_RNA from 1 species
UACGUAGGUGGCAAGCGUUGUCCGGAAUUAUUGGGCGUAAAGCGCGCGCAGGCGGCCUCUUAAGUCUGAUGUGAAAGCCCCCGGCUCAACCGGGGAGGGCCAUUGGAAACUGGCGGGCUUGAGUGCGGGAGAGGAGAGUGGAAUUCCUGGUGUAGCGGUGAAAUGCGUAGAUAUCAGGAGGAACACCGGUGGUGAAGACGGCUCUCUGGUCUGCAACUGACGCUGAGGUGCGAAAGCGUGGGGAUCAAACAGG